CCCUUAGAUGUUCUGGGCUGCACGCGUGUUACAAUCGGGGGUACAACAAGAUUGCAAAUCCUAGUGGAUGAGUGGUUCUUCGAAAUUUUCUGAAGACUGGGAUAGUUGAUUGAAAUUAUUCAACUCGAACGAGGAAUUCCUUGUAAUUGUAAUUCAUUAUAUUGUAAUGAAUACGUCCCUGCCCUUUGUACACACCGCCCGUCGCUCCUACCGAUUGAACGAUCCGGUGAAUUAUUUGGAGUAGCUCUGGAAGUUGCAGAACUUCCUAUGUCACGAAAUUUUGUAAACCUUAUCGUUUAGAGGAAGGAAAAGUCGUAACA
rnacentral:rRNA from 1 species